GGGUCAGUAGGUUGGUCGUGCCACCGGUACGUACUGGUCUCACUGAUUCCUCCUUCCUGAAGAACCGUAAUGCCAUUAAUUCGGUGUUGCGGGGGAACAGGACUGUUACUUUGAAAAAAUUAGAGUGUUUAAAGCAAGCUAACGCUUGAAUACAUUAGCAUGGAAUAAUGAAAUAGGACGAUCGAUCCUAUUUUGUUGGUUUCUAGGAUUGACGUA
rnacentral:rRNA from 1 species